rnacentral:tRNA from 1 species
GGGGGGGUAGCUCAGCUGGGAGAGCGCGUCGUUCGCAUCGACGAGGUCGUGGGUUCGAUCCCCAUCCUCUCCACCA